rnacentral:rRNA from 1 species
CCUACGGGUGGCAGCAGUGAGGAAUAUUGGUCAAUGGACGCAAGUCUGAACCAGCCAUGCCGCGUGCAGGAAGACGGCUCUAUGAGUUGUAAACUGCUUUUGUACGAGGGUAAACGCAGAUACGCGUAUCUGUCUGAAAGUAUCGUACGAAUAAGGAUCGGCUAACUCCGUGCCAGCAGCCGCGGUAAUACGGAGGAUUCAAGCGUUAUCCGGAUUUAUUGGGUUUAAGGGGUUCGUAGGCGGUCGGAUAAGUUAGAGGUGAAAUCCCGAGGCUCAACUUCGGAAUUGCCUCUGAUACUGUUCGGCGAGAGAGUAGUUGCGGUAGGCGGAAUGUAUGGUGUAGCGGUGAAAUGCUUAGAGAUCAUACAGAACACCGAUUGCGAAGGCAGCUUACCAAGCUACGUCUGACGUUGAGGCACGAAAGCGUGGGGAGCAAACAGGAUUAGAUACCCUGGUAGUC